rnacentral:lncRNA from 1 species
CAUGGGGUGGCACAUGUUAGUGCCAGAGCACUCUACGCUUCAUCAUCAGCAGUUGUCUGGUCAUCUCUUUUUUCUGUUCCUUCUAUUCUUAUUCCUAUUCUUUUCUCUCUCUCUCAUUCGUAUCCUUUGGCAUCACUCCUUCCUAUAAUCUCCUGUCCUUACCUACUAUCUCCCCCUCCUCCAUGUCUUCAUUCUUGUAACCCCUCUUUUCAUUCUCCCACCAUUCCUGCACCCUUACCUAACCUAGCAUUCUUUUUCCUAUCUUCGUCGUUUCUCUUCCCUUUUCACUCUCAUUUUCCCCAGUCUCUCCCCCCUACCUCCAAUCCAUUCUGGUCUGGGACUGGCUUGAAAACAGCCAGGAGGAAGCAGCUACCAUCGUCGUGAGCUCAUGACUACGGCUACCACACCAUCGACCUCAACAACAACUAGCCAGGAGAGGACAACGACUACACCGACCAACACAGACUCGGUUAACUGCGCUCAGUGACCACGCCAGAAGCAACAGCGGCUACCAAACAGUUGUAUUAACAAGUUUCCUGUUCGUUGCACCGACCAAAGUGUUCUUGACUAAGGGCACUGGAUAAGACAAGAGUGGGGGGUCUCUACUGAUGGGGGAAGCAGCUACCACCGUCGCCACCUAAUGCUGCACGUGACUACGACUGUCAACUGACACCAACAACAGGUGGCUAGGAGAGGACAGCGACUUUGUCCACCAAGACAUCAACGAUCACCUGACACGGAUUAUGGCGGCCAGUGACCACGCCGAGUAAAGCAACAGAGGCUACCAGGAUUACUUACAGGUUUCCCUGUCGUUACUCCACCAACUAUUUCUCGACUAAUGAGACUGGAUUAACAGACUGGCAUGACCACCACUGCCAUCAACGGUCAGCUGAUGUUGCUCGGUGACUACGACGAUCACACCAUCGACCUCAACAACAGCUGGCUUGGAAAGGACAGCGACUACGCCGAACAAACCAACGGCGGCUAACCAGGGGAUGUAUUCCUUUUCUAUUCCGUGCACUGUUUUUUUUUCUCUCUCUCACUCUCUCACUCACUCUCACUCAUGCACUCUCACUCACUCUCUCACACUCACUCUCACUCACUCACUCUCUCACACUUACUCAUACACACUCU